rnacentral:rRNA from 1 species
AACGAACGCUGGCGGCAGGCUUAACACAUGCAAGUCGAACGCGUGCAGCAAUGCACGAGUGGCGCACGGGUGAGUAACGAGUGGAUAUCUGCCUUUUGGUUCGGAAUAACCCCGGGAAACUGGGGCUAAUACCGGAUGGUUCCUACGGGAUAAAGAUUUAUCGCCAAAAGAUGAGUCCGCGUCCGAUUAGCUAGUUGGUGAGGUAAUGGCUCACCAAGGCGACGAUCGGUAGCUGGUCUGAGAGGACGAUCAGCCACGCUGGGACUGAGACACGGCCCAGACUCCUACGGGAGGCAGCAGUGGGGAAUAUUGGACAAUGGGGGCAACCCUGAUCCAGCCAUGCCGCGUGAGUGAUGAAGGCCUUCGGGUUGUAAAGCUCUUUUGGCGGGGACGAUGAUGACGGUACCCGCAGAAUAAGCCCCGGCUAACUUCGUG